rnacentral:tRNA from 1 species
GCUUCGGUGAUUCAGUGGUUGAAUGGUAGCUUGCCACGCUGUCCGCCCAGAUUUGAUUCCUGGUCGACGCA